CUUGCAGGCAGAGAAAGUAUGAUUUCUUAGGUUAACUUAAGUUAAAUGAACGUGUGCUGUCUAAUAUUGUCCAUACUUACACUGCCAUGAAUUUGUGCAAUACUGACAGAGAAUUCCAGUAGAGAACUAAAAUCUGAACAGGACGUGGAUCGAGUGGCUGUUCUGCUGGACAUCUGGACAUGUGAGACUGCAUUCCUGGAGCAUAAAAUAGAGGUACUGUUAAAGAAAGUAUUUCAAAAAAGGUUGCAUAUACAGGAUAAUCAAAAUGUUUACCUUGCCCUUGUUGAUAUUCUUUUUACAGCUCUUGAAUUGCUACUUUGAAGCUUACCACCACAUCAUAGACCCAGAAGAGCGAUUUAGUUUGGCUCAAGUAAUUACAGAUAUAAUGCACAGAAGACCUCGUCUGAAUUUGGAAACAGAGUAUUUUGUUCAAGCCUACAGGCAGGAGGUGGCCUGUCUGCAGAGCCACCAGCAACUUAUCAAACUAGUUCUAAAUUCUCAGAUUGAUAAGCAGCGUGAGUACCUUGACCGGAUAUGGAGAGGGGAGAGGAGGAGGAGCUGUCCAGAUGAAUAUGGUUUUCCUUUAAGUUUUGUCCCGAAACAACUGGUGUCAGUAGGUGGAAGUAGGUAAGCAUUAGGAUAAUAUAUGGAGAACACUCUGAACGCCAUGUAGUCCU
rnacentral:lncRNA from 1 species